UACAGAGGUCUCAAGCGUUGUUCGGAUUCAUUGGGCGUAAAGGGUGCGUAGGAGGGUAGGUAAGUCAGUGGUGAAAUCUUCGAGCUUAACUCGGAAACUGCCGUUGAUACUAUCUAUCUUGAAUACCGUGGAGGUGAGCGGAAUAUGUCAUGUAGCGGUGAAAUGCUUAGAUAUGACAUAGAACACCAAUUGCGAAGGCAGCUCGCUACACGAAUAUUGACUCUGAGGCACGAAAGCGUGGGGAUCAAACAGG
rnacentral:rRNA from 1 species